CGUGAGCUCAUUCAAUAACGGCAUGCACAAAGUGCCUAAUGGCUCCUUGUACACAUUAAAUAUUCAGGAAGUUACUUAUUACCAAUCACUUAUCUCUUACUGAGAAGAAGAAAGAAGUUAAGACAAGGUAUUGGAAUGUAUCCCAGGCUGGCCCCCAGCUCGCAGCAAUGCUCCUGCUUCAGUUUUCCCUGGGAUUUUAGACACGUUCCUGCUUAAACCGAGGAGUUUUGAAGAACAGGAAAGAGAGCAGCUAUACGGUCGGUCUCUCAACUGGAGAGGCUUCAAAGCUCCACCAUGAAAUAAGGAAGCAAGACCAACGCUCUCCCUUGAGGAAGAGACCCAGUGUCCUUGCCUCAGGAACCUGGGGCACCACCUGCCCGUCCUCUUCCAAUGAAUGAUUUCAGCUCUUCAUCAGGAUAACUGUCAUGUGGUGGCCGGUGACCUGCUCAUCUCCUAGAAACUCCCAACAGGAAAAAAACAAAACAAAAUAAAAAACUAAAAAAC
rnacentral:lncRNA from 1 species